rnacentral:lncRNA from 1 species
UAUGUUUCUUCCGGUGGAAAAACAAAAGAUGAUAUAUGUAUGUGCACUUGUUUAAUCUGUGUGAAAGUGUGUGGGUUAUACAACUCAUAAUAAGAAUUUUUUUUUUUUUUUUUUGAUCAGUCNNNNNNNAUGACAUGUUUAAUAUAAUAAUUUAUGUGUGAAAAUAUAUCUAUUUGGAAAAUUUUAGUUUAAUGUGAAAUAUUACUUAAUUGUGUUCUCUAUUGUUAGUAAAUUGAGAAGUAUAUGGAUGCAUGUAUAAUUUGUGAAUUCAUGUUGAUAUUUGUGAAUAUAUGAGAACAAUAACUUGAGAAGAUGUAUACGAGUUAUUAGAGCAUUGUUAGAAGCAAAUUUAGGAGAUACUAUCUUGUUGAAAAAUUUGAUGAUAUUGAGAAAUUUAUUGAAGACACAUAUAUUGUGAUAGAGACGUUGUCGCUUAGAAAUAUUCUAAGUAGACCUGAACAUGAUUGUGUUUCAUGAGAUAUUUUCGAGAUACCAGUGAUUAUAUAAUAUGGUAUAUUGUGGAGUAUCCAUUGUAUUGAAAUAAUACAAUGAUGAUGUUUAAUAUAUUGUAGAUUAUCCAUUGUAUUAAAUAAUAUAAUGAUGUUUAGUGAAAUUGUGGAUUAUCCAUUGUAUUAAAAUAAUACAAUGAUGUUUAGUGAAAUUUUUUAUGAGAAAAUAUAUCUCAAUAUAUGAAAUUAUAAAUUGUCCUUAUUGAGGGGGCACUGUCACUUGAAAUCAUUCAAGUAGAUCUGAAUUAAAAUUCACCUAUGUUGACAAAUGUGGGGGUGUUGUCGCUUGAAAUCGAUAUUAUGAAUAUCGAUUUGAAAAUAUAUGAGAUAUUGAUUAAUGUGAUCAGCCAUUGUAUUAAAAUAAUACAAUGAUGUUAAUCGGAUAAAAGCCUAUGAGAAUAAAAUCAAUAAGUGGAUUUUAUUGUUCUAAGUGAGAAUGUUGUCGCUUAGUUAACUAAGCAGACAUGUAUAAAUUUAUUGUGAAGAACAAGCUUGUUGUUAUAAACUUGAUAAAUAUGAGAUUAAUUGACUUAGAGACGUCUUAGUAAAUAUUAUACUUGAUGAAAGAAAAUUAUGUCUUCAUCAUUUGUGUAAAGUACGUACUAAAUAAAGCCCCUAGGAAGAAAUAAUUUUGUGACACAUCGAGGGGAAUUGGACUUAAGCCAUUUGAAAUCAACAAGUGAUAGGAACCCAACCUUUGUGAUUGGAGAUCCCAUGAAUAAGGUUCAUAUGGGUAAGAACAAGUUACUUGUUAGAUCUGCUAGCACACAAAAAUUAGCUAAUUAAUUUUUGUCUUGGUCCUUUUCCUAUGGUGUGAGUGAGAAAGUGCUAGACACUGCAUUAUUGAGAGGGUAAGCAAUAAAGCUUUUAAUGAAUUUCAUAUCCCUUAUGGGUGGUGUAUGAUUUGCAGCAAUGUUUUAAAAACCGGACCGGAGAUCGAACCGGUGAGAGCUCCGGUUCAUGGUUCAACCGGUUUAAUCAGUUGAACCGCUAUUAAACCGUUAUUGAACCGAAUAAUUAAAAAUAAAUAUAAUGCUGAGGAAUAAAUAAUAAUUUUAGACUCAAUAAUUUGAUUUUUUUUUUAUAUAGUAAAAAAGAAAGUUAGUUCUCCAAAAAAAAGAAGUUAGUUUUAUUUUAUAAUAUAUUGGGCCAUUAUUUUAUCAAGUUGUAUUGACCCAAAAGCCCAAUUAUAAGUUAAACCCUAGAAUUGAAAUAUCCUCUCAUUCCUAUUAGUGAGCAGCCUCCACUCCACUUUCCAUCUUCUUCUCUCACGUACUUUCUUUCUUUUUCUUCUUAUUUUCUUGUUUCUUCUUUUUCUCUCUUACUUAGAUCUGUUUCAUUCCUUUCUUAAGUAUGACCAUCAAGAAAUAAAAAACUAUUGUGUGACUACAAC